rnacentral:siRNA from 1 species
AACUUAUUUACAAUGGCUGCCAC